rnacentral:rRNA from 1 species
GACGAACGCUGGCGGCGUACUUAACACAUGCAAGUCGAACGGUAAGGCCCUUCGGGGUACACGAGUGGCGAACGGGUGAGUAACACGUGGGUGAUCUGCCCUGCACUUCGGGAUAAGCCUGGGAAACUGGGUCUAAUACCGGAUAGGACCACUGCCUGCAUGGGUGGUGGUGGAAAGCUUUUGCGGUGUGGGAUGGGCCCGCGGCCUAUCAGCUUGUUGGUGGGGUGAUGGCCUACCAAGGCGACGACGGGUAGCCGGCCUGAGAGGGUGACCGGCCACACUGGGACUGAGAUACGGCCCAGACUCCUACGGGAGGCAGCAGCAGGGAAUAUUGCGCAAUGGGCGAAAGCCUGACGCAGCGACAUCGCGUGAAGGAUGACGGUCCUCGGAUUGUAAACUUCAAUAGUCUAUUAAAAAAUCUUGAUUGAUAGAUGAAAGCCCUGGCUAACCACGUGCCAGCAGCCGCGGUAA